GACGAACGCUGGCGGCGUGCUUAACACAUGCAAGUCGAACGGAAAGGCCCUGCUUUUGUGGGGUGCUCGAGUGGCGAACGGGUGAGUAACACGUGAGUAACCUGCCCUUGACUUUGGGAUAACUUCAGGAAACUGGGGCUAAUACCGGAUAGGAGCUCCUGCUGCAUGGUGGGGGUUGGAAAGUUUCGGCGGUUGGGGAUGGACUCGCGGCUUAUCAGCUUGUUGGGGGGGUAGUGGCUUACCAAGGCUUUGACGGGUAGCCGGCCUGGGAGGGUGGCCGGCCACAUUGGGACUGAGAUACGGCCCAGUCUCCUACGGGAGGCAGCGGUGGAGAAUAUUGCACAAUGGGCGGAAGCCUGAUGCAGCAACGCCGCGUGCGGGAUGACGGCCUUCGGGUUGUAAACCGCUUUCGCCUGUGACGAAGCGUGAGUGACGGUAAUGGGUAAAGAAGCACCGGCUAACUACGUG
rnacentral:rRNA from 1 species